CUUUGUUCUCCCAGUGACUCCACACCCACAGAAGGAGAGGGGGAUGAAGAAAUCUGCCAGGAGGGUGCCUCCCGCCAGUAUCUGAUGAAGGAGGAAAUGGAUCCAGCCAGAAGGAUCAGAGAGUGUCAGAAGAUCUGGAAACUUCCUCCGUAGGGCCAAAGCCUCAAAAUAUGCCAUUCUAUUCUGGGGAAUGCCAUUUCUAUUCAGGGCUCCAUCCAUCAAAUGGAAAUGGGACUCUAGGCUACUUUCCCAUCUCCCAGGAAUUUGGAUGCCUAGAACACAACAAUUCUUUUAAUCUUCUAAGUUAAAAAAAAAAAAUUCGGGGACAGGU
rnacentral:lncRNA from 10 species